GAUGAACGCUGGCGGCGUGCCUAAUACAUGCAAGUCGAGCGAACGGACGAGAAGCUUGCUUCUCUGAUGUUAGCGGCGGACGGGUGAGUAACACGUGGAUAACCUACCUAUAAGACUGGGAUAACUUCGGGAAACCGGAGCUAAUACCGGAUAAUAUUUUGAACCGCAUGGUUCAAAAGUGAAAGACGGUCUUGCUGUCACUUAUAGAUGGAUCCGCGCUGCAUUAGCUAGUUGGUAAGGUAACGGCUUACCAAGGCAACGAUGCAUAGCCGACCUGAGAGGGUGAUCGGCCACACUGGAACUGAGACACGGUCCAGACUCCUACGGAAGGCAGCAGUAGGGAAUCUUCCGCAAUGGGCGAAAGCCUGACGGAGCAACGCCGCGUGAGUGAUGAAGGUCUUCGGAUCGUAAAACUCUGUUAUUAGGGAAGAACAUAUGUGUAAGUAACUGUGCACAUCUUGACGGUACCUAAUCAGAAAGCCACGGCUAACUACGUG
rnacentral:rRNA from 1 species